GAUGAACGCUGGCGGCGUGCCUAAUACAUGCAAGUCGAGCGAAUGGAUUAAGAGCUUGCUCUUAUGAAGUUAGCGGCGGACGGGUGAGUAACACGUGGGUAACAUGCCCAUAAGACUGGGAUAACUCCGGGAAACCGGGGCUAAUACCGGAUAACAUUUUGAACCGCAUGGUUCGAAAUUGAAAGGCGGCUUCGGCUGUCACUUAUGGAUGGACCAGCGUCGCAUUAGCUAGUUUGUGAGGUAACGGCUCACCAAGGCAACGAUGCGUAGCCGACCUGAGAGGGUGAUCGGCCACACUGGGACUGAGACACGGCCCAGACUCCUACGGGAGGCAGCAGUAGGGAAUCUUCCGCAAUGGACGAAAGUCUGACGGAGCAACGCCGCGUGAGUGAUGAAGGCUUUCGGGUCGUAAAACUCUGUUGUUAGGGAAGAACAAGUGCUAGUUGAAUAAGCUGGCACCUUGACGGUACCUAACCAGAAAGCCACGGCUAACUACGUGCCAGCCGCCGCAGUAA
rnacentral:rRNA from 1 species